rnacentral:rRNA from 1 species
GACGAACGCUGGCGGCGUGCUUAACACAUGCAAGUCGAACGGAAAGGCCCUGCUUUCGUGGUGUUCUCGAGUGGCGAACGUGUGUGUAACACGUGAGUAAUCUGCCCUUGACUUGGGGAUAACUUCAGGAAACUGGGGCUAAUACCGGAUAGGCGCUCCUGCUGCAUGUUGUUGGUUGGAAAUUUUCGGCUGUUGGGGUUGGACUCGCGGCUUACCAGCUUGUUGGUGGGGUAGUGCCUUACCAAGCCUUUGACGGGUAGCCGGCCUGGGUGGGUGACCGGCAACAUUGGGAUUGGGUUACGGCCCGGACUCCUACGGGAGGCAGCAGUGGGGAAUAUUGCACAAUGGGCGGAAGCCUGAUGCAGCAACGCCGCGUGCGGGAUGACGGCCUUCGGGUUGUAAACCGCUUUGGCCUGUGACGAAGCGUGAGUGACGGUAAUGAGUAAAGAAGCACCGGCUAACUACGUG